GACAGAGGGUGCAAACGUUGUUCGGAAUUACUGGGCGUAAAGGGCUCGUAGGCGGCCAACUAAGUCAGACGUGAAAUCCCUCGGCUUAACCGGGGAACUGCGUCUGAUACUGGAUGGCUUGAGAUUGGGAGAGGGAUGCGGAAUUCCAGGUGUAGCGGUGAAAUGCGUAGAUAUCUGGAGGAACACCGGUGGCGAAGGCGGCAUCCUGGACCAACACUGACGCUGAGUGAGCGAAAGCCAGGGGAGCAAACGGG
rnacentral:rRNA from 1 species